rnacentral:rRNA from 1 species
AUUGAACGCUGGCGGCAGGCCUAACACAUGCAAGUCGAACGAGUGGCGGACGGGUGAGUAAUGUCUGGGAAACUGCCUGAUGGAGGGGGAUAACUACUGGAAACGGUAGCUAAUACCGCAUACCAUCAGAUGUGCCCAGAUGGGAUUAGCUAGUGGGUGGGGUAACGGCUCAUCAAGGCGACGAUCCCUAGCUGGUCUGAGAGGAUGACCAGCCACACUGGGACUGAGACACGGUCCAGACUCCUACGGGAGGCAGCAGUGGGGAAUAUUGCACAAUGGGCGAAAGCCUGAUGCAGCCAUGCCGCGUGAAUGAAGAAGGCCUUCGGGUUGUAAAGUACUUUCAGCGGAGAGGCGUUACCCGAAGAAGAAGCACCGGCUAACUACGUGCCAGCAGCCGCGGUAAUUC